rnacentral:misc_RNA from 1 species
CCGUUGCGGAAGCGCCAAUCAAAUACAUCCCGAUGAGGAACUGGGCUGGAUCGCCUGAUGGCGGGAACAGAAUGGUGCCGCGAGUCGCCCGGACCAACCCUGCCGCGCCGAUGCCGAUGAACACACUGCUGCGCGGUGCAUCGAUCAACCCGGCCAGGUGAUUGCCGGGAUUGCCGUCCCGGUUGGGCGCGGAGCAGUCAGUGGUCUUCAGCGUUGCAUUUGAAGCGCGCGCUCCUGCAUCGGGCUCAGAGUUCUUUAAUGCGGAUGUUGCGAAACUGUACGACCUCGGUGUGGCACUGAAGCCCUAUGAAGCCUUCAUCCCGUUUUGUCUUGCCCAGACUCGGCGCGUUUGCAGUCAACAGGUUCGGGAACUCUCCCUUGGAAACUGUCAGCCCGUUCAGCCUGACUUCGAUGCUUGUGCCUUGCAGCGUGAUCUCGCAGCUAUUCCAGAAGGUGGUUCGGCCUGAACCGCGGGGGUGCACAACCUUUGCGGCCCACAGUCGGGCGGGGAAUACCUCGUAAACCGCGCCCGUCUUGUGCAAAGGGGAGCCGUAAACAUUGGUGCCGGCGUCGUACCCGUGUUCGUCGAUCUGCACUUCGAUCGUCGAGUCAUAGAAGCCGCCGUCGAGAACGAGUGGCGCGGUGGGCAUGCGCAGGAAGAUGCCUGAAUUGGCGGCAAUGUCGUACGCCUUCCAGUCGAGUUUCAGGAUGAAAUCCUUGAACGUCUUGACCGAAUACCGCAGCACGCCCAAAGCGGGUGCUGGGUUGUCCACGCCGGCGCCGAGCACCGGAUGAUCCGGAUCGGUCACAUCGAAAAAGUUCGCGCUGCCGCCCGCUACGACCUGCCAGCCAUCAGUGG